GUGAUCAUCGAAUCUUUGAACGCAAAUUGCGCUCCCUGGCAUCCCGGGGAGUAUGCCUGUUUGAGGGUCGGUAUAAGUAAUGAUCGAAGUGUUGCUUUUCGUGACAUUUCGGACUUGGGUUUUCUUAAUUUCUCUUUAAGAGACCUAAAAUUGAUGUGAUCUUGCGCAUCAUUGACGUUGUAAUUUUUUAUGUCGUCUUAGGAUGCCAGGUUUUUACUAGGUGUGAUCAUGUCGUUGAGCUCAUGCCUAUACAUAUCUCGUUUUCUGACCUCAAAUCAGGUAGGGAUACCCGCUGAACUUAAGCAUAUCAAUAAGCGGAGG
rnacentral:rRNA from 1 species